rnacentral:rRNA from 1 species
UACGUAGGUGGCAAGCGUUGUCCGGAUUUACUGGGCGUAAAGAGCGCGCAGGCGGUCGUUCAAGUCGCGUGUGAAAGCCCCCGGCUCAACUGGGGAGGGUCACGCGAUACUGAUCGACUCGAAGGCAGGAGAGGGUAGUGGAAUUCCCGGUGUAGUGGUGAAAUGCGUAGAUAUCGGGAGGAACACCAGUAGCGAAGGCGGCACUCUGGGCCUUACCUGACGCUGAGGCGCGAAAGCUAGGGGAGCGAACAGG